rnacentral:rRNA from 1 species
AACGAACGCUGGCGGCGUGCCUAACACAUGCAAGUCGAGCGGGAAAGCCCGCAAGGGUGAGUACAGCGGCGCACGGGUGCGUAACACGUGGGUAAUCUACCUUGGAGUCCGGAAUAACUCCCCGAAAGGGGUGCUAAUGCCGGAUGAGACCACGGGAGCUCCGGCUCUCGCGGGAAAAGGCGGCCUCUGUAAACAAGCUGUCGCUUCAAGAUGAGCCCGCGGCCCAUCAGCUCGUUGGCGGGGUAAUGGCCCACCAAGGCUACGACGGGUAGCUGGUCUGAGAGGACGAUCAGCCACACUGGAACUGAGACACGGUCCAGACUCCUACGGGAGGCAGCAGUGGGGAAUCUUGCGCAAUGGGCGAAAGCCUGACGCAGCAACGCCGCGUGUGUGAUGAAGGUCUUCGGAUCGUAAAGCACUGUCGGGAGGGACGAAUAAGGUUGGCGCUAACAUCGCCAGUCGAUGACGGUACCUCCAAAGGAAGCACCGGCUAACUCUGUGCCAGCCGCCGCAGUAAAAC